rnacentral:lncRNA from 1 species
CACCGGGGCCACCCCCACCUUCUCUCGAAUAACUUCAUUCUUGAUCUUAUCUAACCUGGUGAACCCGCACAUCCACCUGAGCAUCCUCAUCUCUGCAACCUUCAUCCUCCGAACAUGAGAGUUUUCACUGGCCAUCACUCCGCCCCAUACAUCAUGACCGGUCUAACCACAGCUCUAUAAAAUUUCCCCUUGAGUUUUUGUGGAACUUUCUUGUCACACA